rnacentral:rRNA from 1 species
AUUGAACGCUGGCGGCAUGCCUUACACAUGCAAGUCGAACGGCAGCGCGGACUUCGGUCUGGCGGCGAGUGGCGAACGGGUGAGUAAUGUAUCGGAACGUACCAUUCAGUGGGGGAUAACGCAGCGAAAGUUGCGCUAAUACCGCAUAUUCUGUGCGCAGGAAAGCAGGGGAUCGCAAGACCUUGCGCUGAUUGAGCGGCCGAUAUCAGAUUAGCUAGUUGGUGAGGUAAAGGCUCACCAAGGCGACGAUCUGUAGCGGGUCUGUGAGGAUGGUCCGCCUCACUGGAACUGAGACCCAGUCCAGACUCCUACGGGAGGCAGCAGUGGGGAAUUUUGGACAAUGGGCGCAAGCCUGAUCCAGCCAUGCCGCGUGAGUGAAGAAGGCCUUCGGGUUGUAAAGCUCUUUCGGCCGGGAAGAAAUCGUAUGGGUUAAUACCCUGUGCGGAUGACGGUACCGGCAUAAGAAGCACCGGCUAACUACGUGCCAGCCGCCGCAGUAACAC